rnacentral:rRNA from 1 species
CUGCAGUACCUUGGGCUGUCAUUUCAUUGAUCUCCUAAGAUAAGGAACAUUCAGCCUGGUCAAUACUUGGAUGGGAUAGCAUAAGGGAAACUUGGAGUACUAAGGU